UCCGCCUUCGCUCUGCCUGCCUGUGUCAGCCGAGGAGCUCAUCAGUAUGGACAGCGCCAAGAGGCUCCGCGAGGCCGGCGGCAUCCGGCCUCCAGCUUUCCCCGCCGAGGCCCUCCCCCGACUCCCUGGGAGCUCCGCGGCGGCUGACCACCGUUAUCAUGCCCGACGCCGCUGUUUGCGCUUGCACGCCGAAGGGCCGGCUGCCACCCUAGACCAGGAUGACAGAGGACUAGCAAUGCAGUGAGAAUUUCAAGACCAAGAUCUGAGUAAAGAGGAAAACCCAAUGCAGCAAGUCCAGCAUUUGUAUCCACUUUUCCUGAAGAAUAAUUAGCAUAUUCCUGAAGAAGUGAGUGAGGAACUGAAAAGCUAAGCAAAAUUUUCAACAAACUCGAGGACCAAGAUGGGCAGAAUUUGUGAUUUAGAGCCACCAAAAAACAGAGUCUGAUAAAAUACCCUGUUUGAAUUGGAACCCCAAAGGACCACGAGUGAGGAGUAAGGA